GAUGAAGAACGUAGCGAAAUGCGAUAAGUAGUGUGAAUUGCAGAAUUCAGUGAAUCAUCGAAUCUUUGAACGCACAUUGCGCCCUUUGGUAUUCCUUAGGGCAUGCCUGUUCGAGCGUCAUUUAAACCUUCAAGCUCAGCUUGGUGUUGGGUGACUGUCCGCCCCCUCCGGGCGGUCGGACUCGCCUCAAAUUGAUUGGCGGCCGGUACUUUGGCUUCGAGCGCAGCAGAAACGCGAACUCGAGGCCGUCGUCCUGGCUCCCAGAAGCUAUCUUCACAAUUUUGACCUCGGAUCAGGUAGGGAUACCCGCUGAACUUAAGCAUAUCAAUAAGCGGAGGA
rnacentral:misc_RNA from 1 species